UACGUAGGUGGCAAGCGUUGUCCGGAUUUAUUGGGCGUAAAGAGCGUGUAGGCGGCCAUACAGGUCAGCUGUGAAAACUCGAGGCUCAACCUCGAGACGUCGGUUGAAACCGUUUGGCUAGAGUCCGGAAGAGGAGAGUGGAAUUCCCGGUGUAGCGGUGAAAUGCGCAGAUAUCGGGAAGAACACCCGUGGCGAAGGCGGCUCUCUGGGACGGUACUGACGCUGAGACGCGAAAGCGUGGGGAGCAAACAGG
rnacentral:rRNA from 1 species